AGAGUUUGAUCAUGGCUCAAAUUGAACGCUGGCGGCAUGCCUUACACAUGCAAGUCGAACGGCAGCACGGGAGCAAUCCUGGUGGCGAGUGGCGAACGGGUGAGUAAUACAUCGGAACGUGCCCAGUAGUGGGGGAUAGCCCGGCGAAAGCCGGAUUAAUACCGCAUACGACCUACGGGUGAAAGCGGGGGAUCGCAAGACCUCGCGCUAUUGGAGCGGCCGAUGGCAUAUUAGCUUGUUGGUGGGGUAAAAGCCUACCAAGGCGACUAUCUGUAGCUGGUCUGAGAGGACGACCACCCACACUGGGACUGAGACACGGCCCACACUCCUACGGGAGGCAGCAGUGGGGAAUUUUGGACAAUGGGCGCAAGCCUGAUCCAGCCAUGCCGCGUGCGGGAAGAAGGCCUUCGGGUUGUAAACCGCUUUUGUCAGGGAAGAAACGGCUUAAUCUAAUAAAUUGAGCUAAUGACGGUACCUGAAAAAUAAGCACCGGCUAACUACGUGCCAGCAGCCGCGGUAAUACGUAGGGUGCAAGCGUUAAUCGGAAUUACUGGGCGUAAAGCGUGCGCAGGCGGCUAUGCAAGACAGAUGUGAACUCCCCGGGCUCAACCUGGGAACUGCAUUUGUGACUGCACAGCUAGAGUACGGCAGAGGGGGGAUGGAAUUCCGCGUGUAGCAGUGAAAUGCGUAUAUAUGCGGAGGAACACCGAUGGCGAAGGCAAUCCCCUGACCUGUACUGACGCUCAUGCACGAAGCGUGGAGAGCAAACAGGAUUAGAUACCCUGUACUCCACGCCCUAACGAUGUCCACUUGGUUUGUUGGACGGCUUGCUUGUUCAGUAACGAAGCUAACGCGUGAGUUGACCGCCUGGGAGAGUACGGCCGCAGGUUGAUCUCGAUGUAUUGACAGCAUCGCAAGCGUAGAAAGUUAGAUGUAUUACUCCGCAAUGGCCACGCGCGAACGAUUA
rnacentral:rRNA from 1 species